UCAUGUCUCUAUGAAUAGCUUUCAUUGGAUACUCAUAGUCAUCGACCUUGCUGAAAGUAAGUUGGUAAUCUAUGACUCAAUGAAGAAACUGCAACAAGAUUACCAAGAUAUGAUAGACAUCAUUCAAAGGUAAUUUUGAUCCAUUGCAUGCGUAGACUAAGCUUGUAUAUAUGCAUACUUAACGGUCCAACUCUCUUGUUUCAAAUAUAUCAUUGGUUUAGGGUUUGAGAAAGAUUCAUUGUUCGGGAACAUAUAACUCAACGUAGGGCGCCACUAAAGAUAAUACAACUACAAGUAAGUUUAUCCUUCGUCAAUGUACGUGGUAUAUCUUAUAUCUUGUCUUUUUUACGAGAUGAAUCUUUACAUCCUACAAUGGAUCUUGAGACAAGAACCGGGGAACAACUUAUGUGGAUACUAUGUUUACGAGUAUAUUAUGGCAGUAACAAAUAGAAUUCCUAAAGAAUACCUCAGAGUAUGUAACACAUGUCUCUUUUCAUUUUCUCUCGAAUUACUAUUGAUAAUCUUGAUAUAACUAAUACCUUCUUUUAAUUCAAAUUGAGGACUGAAUGGUUGAAGCAAAAACUCAUGCAACAUGAACAACUCCAAGCAAUACAAGAGGCAAUAGCAGGAUUUCUUCGCGAACAAGUCAUAAAUCCAAGCGGCGAGAUCCACUAUAAUCCUAACAAGAAGAUGAUUCCAAACAAUGAUGAUCAUUUGUAUGCUUUGUAGAUCUUUGGAUGAUAAAGUACAACUUGUAAUAUGUUUAGAGUAUUAACUUUGGAGUACAACUUGUGCAGUAAUAGAUUUAGAGAACAACUUAUAUAUAUAUAUAUUAGCAGCAAAGAAUACAUAUUGGAAAACCUAUUGCAUAAAUAAACAAAACUAAAAAGAAAAGAAAAAGAAAAAACAAGGGGCCCCUUUAGUCCCGGGUGGUACUACCAGCCGGGACUAAAGGGUGCUGCUGCGUGGCACCGCUGGUAGCUUGUAAGAGCUCAAUCUGCCAAGAAGAAAGUAGGAAAGGGUGUUCCACAGCUCGGGGACACAUCAAGACCUUUGUCCCCGUUAAUUGUGGCAGAUCAGUAUGGUUCAAAUGUGGGCGUAGUACAGAGGAAAUCUGGAGAGCCCACUUUCUCUGAGAUGGACUCACUUGAAAAUUAUUUCAUUGAUCCGUGGUCUGUCGUACUCCAUGAUUCAAAAUAUUGGUGCUGGGCUAGAGUUUCCACGAGCGGAAGUAGUUGAUGAAUGGAGGAGAAAUUUUGCACCAGGCAGGAGUCUAAUGAACCCAAAGCACCUACAUGUACUCGGUACGCAGAUGUUUGCAAUCAACAAUUGGUGCAUGGAGGCUUCUAAAGGCGGAGUUGAUUGGAUUUCUAUUCGAAUUCGAAACCAUCACUACUUCCGUGGCGAUGACCUUAUCUUAGUCUAGAUGAGCGAAUUACACCAGCUAUGCCACAUGGACGCUCUGGACAAAUCACUCAUUAGCUGCUUUUGUUUGUAAGUAUUUUUUUGUUUUCAUUAAACUCUGUCUAUAUAGUAGUAAUCCUUACACACGUACUUGUCGAUGGACCCUAUUUUGCUAUAUGUAGGCUCCAAAUGACAGAGCUCAGAUCGAAAAACGAUAAUACUCUUGGAUUUAUUGAUCCUUACGUCGUUUUCAAGGAGCCAAACCCCUCGGUGACUUGGAUCAAUGACAUGUAUACGAAUCUUAUGAGGUUCUUUGUGAACCAAAAAGUCAAAAAAGAAUACUCUUCUCCUACAACUUCAAGUGAGUUAUACAUAUAUAUAUAGUUAACAUGCAAGGGUGCACCUUUAUUUUACUUAACCCUAAUCUAUGACUCAUGUCUCUAUGAAUAGCUUUCAUUGGAUACUCAUAGUCAUCGACCUUGCUGAAAGUAAGUUGGUAAUCUAUGACUCAAUGAAGAAACUGCAACAAGAUUACCAAGAUGAACAACUCCAAGCAAUACAAGAGGCAAUAGCAGGACUUCUUUGGGAACACUAGUACACAGAUGCUCUAAGCCGGCGGGGGCAAAAAAUUUUCAGAGGCGGUUAUAGUUGUAACACGCCUGUGGUGUAAAUUUGUACGGCAAGAUUUAAAAACCGCCUGUGCUAUUCUUUCUAUAAAUACUCCACCCCUUCUUCCUCCUCGGGCAGAACUGUAGGUAGCAGCCACAUUCCAUUGGAGCACAUCUUGGAGGUCCAGUUUUCCCAAAAUACAAGGGGGGAGGUUUUGAUCUUCAUUUCUUGGAAGGAGGUGGCUAAGAAAGGUUAGUUGAUGCCUCUUAAGGCUCUUUUUGUGCCCUCUUGCUCAAUUAGAGCUACUUUUUGGAACUAGGGUUUCACCAUGAUGUCACACCCAUAUUUUAAGAACAAAAUAGGAUGCAUAAAAGACUCAUAUGUGCCCUAGAAACAGUCGCACACAUAAGUAGACAAAUCUCAAAUGUACCAUUGCAGUGUUUAUUACACAACAGAACAUAGUAAAUCACAUAGUCUCAUACAAAGAUAAUAGCAUAAAGUAAACAACGCUCUCAACGGAAGCUCCACACAGGGACACUGCUGACUGGUUGACUCCAAACCUAGUACUCAUAGCGAUAAUCCUCAUUCCAGUCAUCUUCAUUAUCAUAUCCUGAGGUGUUGGGAAAUUGCAAGAGUGAGCACAUAUCGUACUCAACAAGUAUAACCAGGGGUUCAUGAGGCCCAAAUAGCUGACACUGGUUUGACUGCAAUUAGCUUUUAAUAGUGGAUAGCAUGUUCAUAAUUAAUGAGCAAUUCUCAAGGUAGCAUAAAUAAUCCAUUAAUCCCAUGAUCAAGUGUAAGCAUAAUUAAUUCUUAGCAUAAACCAUAAUCAAAUGAACAUAACAACUUAAUAAGCUCAUCGUCGGCGCAGCAAGAACCCCCAAGGCCGCUCAUAACCGUGAGCACGGCUAGUAUACCAGUUUUACACUCUGCAGAGGUUGUACAUCUUUACCCAUGAGUCAUGAUUUACCCUUUCGCCCGAGGCCCGUCGACCUCUUAACCCACUACCAAGGAAGGUCGGCAGGGAUCACUAUGAAGCCUUUCAAAAGUUCGUCUAACAAGUUAGGGCCGCAAGGUUUCCUUUGCGCGCAGAUAUAGAGCCCCCCUUCCGAUGGCACAAUGACUCGCAGCCUAUACUCAUACAGACAGAGGCCACACUAUACCCAAAACGGUUCAGCCCCUCCGCCCUUUCGGGUAACCUCUAACAAGCUAGAAAAGUGCUUCAUACUGAGCUAAAGCCAGAGCCAUUAUAGCCCUCAUGGUUGCACUGUUGUCCCGGUGAUCACUUACAGACAAGAUCUCAUACAGUUAUUUGUCAUUCUUUUAUGUUCAUUGCAUAGCUAUUAAUCAUCUUACAAGAUCAUGGAUUAUAUCAAGCACUAGCACAUUUAUAACAAAUGCAUAUCAAGUAGGUAGCAAGGAAUACAGGUAACAAUCAUCUAUGAUUUUGCUAAGGUCGACAAGGUGAUAGCAUGCAUAUGAUAUAUAUGUGUAGUUAUAAGUGAAUAGGUAACAAGGAUGAUCCCAAGUUAUACUUGCCUUGAUCAAAGCUCUCCUGAGCCCGCUGGUCUUCAAAGGCUUGAUCUUGCUCACCAACGUACGGCUCACCGUCUAAUCCCAAACAUCAAUCAACAACACGCAAUCCAACGUAGACAAUCAUACACGAAGCAAACAAGAUAUAAUUAGAACAAUACACCAAACAGUGGUAAAACAAAUAUAAAAGUUUAUGAAAGUAUUCUACGCAGCGCUACGAUCACACAAACAUAAAGUUCACGAAAAUCGGAAUUAAAACGGAGAAGUUAUGCAUUUUCCAAGAUUUCCUAUAGAGAAAUAAUUAAUUAAGUAAUACCAGGAAAUUAGAAAGUUUCAAAACAGAGAAUAAAUAGUUCUAACAUGUAGAGCUCGUAAUUACGAAUCUAACGGAAUUUGAAUGGACAAAAACGGAGUUACAAUGAAUAUUUUAUGACCAAUUCAAUUUCAGUGGCAAAGUUGUAAAUAACAGGGAACGUAUUUCACCCAACCAGAACCAGAAUGCGCUUUUAGAAAGUGAAAGCGUAAACCGGGAAUGCGCAAAGGGACCGCGGGUUGAAUCUAAAAGAGAACAGGGGCUCUUUAACAAAUUGCGCAGCGAAGGGUUAUCUUCUAAUCUUGCGCGUUGAUCCAAGAUCCGACGGCUUGCAGCGAUUCCAGGAGCAGCAGGCGGCGGGCCGGCCGUCUGCCUCCUCUCCGGUGCGGUGGCAGCCAUGGACAGGGAGCCGAAGCUCGCCGGCGUCGUCCGGCUUCCCGUUUCCGAGCGCCGUUUCUAGAAAGAAAAACACCGGGAGUUGGAGAAUCACUUCGCGAACUCACCUAGACGGUCUACUCGAGCCGAGAAACAAGCAGGCCUCGGUUUCGCGGCAAGGAAGGAGAGCUCGCCUCGGCGAGAUCCAAAGCACAAGAAAAACAGCGGCUAGGGCACGGUUUGGCAAACUAGAAGCAAAUAGGGGGUCGCGGGGGGGGGGGUGAUUUGGGAGCUUUAUAGGUCUCGGUUCGCUUCCUUGGCAAGGAAAUCCCGAGAUUUCGGGAUUGAGAUACGGCAUGGUUGUGCCCGGCUCGGUUACGAGCAGAGGAAGGAGACGGCUGACACAUGGGCCCAAGGUGGCAGCGAGAGAAGGAAAAGGGAGAAGAGGGAGCUGGAUGGCUGACGCGCGGGCCGAACUGUCAGCCAGAGAGAGAGGGAGUUGGGCCGCGCGAGCCGCUGCGGCUCUGCUGGGCUGGCUAACGGGCCGAGAGCAAGGUGGAAGGGGGAGUGGGCCGUGUGCAGGGGAGAAAAACGAGCAGGCCGGGGAGAGGGCGAAAAGGGACUGGGCUGGUUUCCAAGGGUUGGGGGUCUUUUCUCUUUUUUUUCUUUCUUUUCUUUUUCCAAAACCUUUUCCAAAUCUAAUUUUGAAUGCAAUUAAAUUCUAGCCAAAGGCAAAGCAACACAAAAUGAAAUAUGUCUCAGCAUGAAUGCACAAAAUCAUGUUACUAAGCUUAUGAUAAAUUUUAAUUUCCACAAAAAUUGUUUAUUUGCUACAUUAAAUGCUCACUAAAAUUCUUAAAUAAUUCAAAUUACAUCCUAUUAAUUGAAAUUCAAAUUUUGGGUGUUACAAACUCUACCCCCUUAAAAGAAUCUCGUCCUCGAGAUUGAGCAGUGCAUAAAUAGACAGUUGUGGAUACGAUUCUCUCCAAUCAUCAUCUCUUUCUCAAGUUGCUUCUGCCUCUAAAAACCGAUUCCAUUGCACUAGCAAAUUCAUGUCUCUAGUCAAGUAACAUACCUGGUAACUUAUCUGAAAAUUUAUUCCCUACACAGUCCUCAAGAUCAACACCAUCAUCCAGGUGAUUCACUAUAGCUGUGGGUGGAGCCUGUACUGCUACAUCCACACUGAUUCUCUCUCCCUUGGGUGUUGUCACAACUACUACUUUCUCUUUGCACUUAAUUUCCGUAGCAUAUUUCUUCAUCCAAUCCAAACCCAAUAUCACAUCUAUGCCUGAGGUUCUCAUAACCAUGGGACUAACCGGGAAAUCUACCCCCCUUAAAGAAAGACUAGCAUAUGGGUUUUCAGGGCAACUAGUGGAAUGCUAUGAACUAUAACAAAUGCCUGUGAUAUGAAUGUAUGCGAAGCUCCAGAAUCAAAUAAAACUGUAGCAAGAAUAGAGUUGAUACUGAACGUACCCAUCAUAAUCUUCGGUCCCUCUUGUACUGUCUCUGCAGCCACAUGGUUCACCUUUGCUCCGUGAGAAUUAGACUUUUGGUUGUUGUUCUGCUGGUUGAAUCUCUCCGGGCAAUCAUAUGACAUAUGUCCUUUUCCAUAGCGGAAACACCUAGUAGGGGUAUUGGGGGCACUUCUCUUCAUAGAGGUGGCAUUUGAAUUUCCCGAGCGAGAAGUCAGUUGUCCACCCUAUUGUUGAUUAGGAUUACGCUGAGAUUGUUGGUUGCGAUCUGUGGGGGUAUAAACCCCUAUACCCUUACGGCUAGACUUGGGCCAGGAGGUUUGGCCCACUACGAGACGAGCUCAAGGCUUGAUCCGACAGCUUGGAGUUUCAUGCAAGGAAACAAGACGUGGAGAUCGAGCAAGAUUCUAGUCGGUUAGAAUAGGAAUUGAUAUCGAACUAUCUAUGGCAAUUGUAACCGACUAGGAUUAGUUUUCAGAUCUGUAACCCUGCCCUCCAGACUAUAUAAGGAGGGGCAAGGGACCCCCCUAGUACAUAUUAUUCUCUAAACACAAAUCAAUACAACCAGACGCAGGACGUAGGUAUCACGCCAACUCGGCGGCCGAACCUGGAUAUAAAGCUUGUCCGUGUCUUGCGUCACCAUCGAGUUCGUAGUUUGCGCACCGUCUACCGAUAAACUACUACCGUGGGUAUACCCCAAGGUAGACUGCCGACUAGCUUUCGUCGACAGUGGCGCUCCAGGUAGGGGGUGUGCGUGCAACUUCUCCGGCGAACAAGAUGGUAACGAUCCCAGCUUCCGCGGCUGUGCCUGAAGGCCUGACGUUCACCGUCGGCCAGAUCACGUGGACGACGUGCAGCGGCGGCCUCACGACCACGUUUCCGAAAGAAACUCAGAUCCAACCUGAGAACACGUUGUCUCCGACCACUCGCGUGGCGGCAUCGAGCGCCCGACCACCGUUCCCGCUCUACAAGGGAAAGAAGAUUGACUGCUCGAACCUUCUCCAAGCGCUUGAUCGCGCUGAUUCCAAGCUACUUGAAUCCUCCCAACUAGUAGACGGAAUCCUGCGUCAGCCUGAUCAAGCCGCUCCAACGGAUUUUUUCAAAUCCCGCCGGCCAACUCGUGUCGUUACACACGAACGACUGGGAACGUCUCUGACGAUAACCUCAACUCCCUCAGGACGAUCUGACAAGCUCAAGAAGGGAGAUUAUCCUUGCGGCCUGAACAACUCGGCCUCUCUUUACUCGCGGCACAUCCAAUCCGUUUUCAGCAAGACGGGUUGGCCGCCGAAAAGGAACAGUCGUCACUACGUCAACAUGGUGACAAUCCGAGAACUACGGGACGGCCAGGCUUCCAACACCAACUCGAGCACUGGUUCCGUCCCUACCGAAGUUAUAAACACCGAAGACGAGGAAUACGACCUGGAUUUUCCUUCACACCCUCCGAGUUUCCCUCGUUUCCCAGUAUUUCCCCCCGGCGAGGAGAUAUUGUUUUCAACGUCAGCGCCGACGAGCCGGUCGUUGAUGGAGAAACGGAUGAGCAGAGGCAACUCUGCGAGCAGCGCAACGCCGAUCGCGCCCGACGACGCGCAGACGAGCAACAACAAAUUCCACCACAUAAUCUCAAUGACGCUUUUGACAUGGUCGGGGACCAGCCAGUCUACAAAACGCCAAGCGCCAACGUGGCUGUCGCUAUGGCUAAUCUAGAUCGGCUCCCUGAUACCCCUGAGUGCCAGGGAGUCCGGACCAGCAUCCGAGCACACUUGAUAGCCGCUAUGGGACAGACAGCCACUCUGCUCAAGAGAGUCCAGGACGUCUCUUAUACGGAAGCCACCUCCGACCAGACUAAUCGUAGCCGGACCUCACCGCCUCCCAGCAGGCGUCACCGCAGCCGCUCUCCCGACAACCAUCGAAAAGAUUCACGGCGUGACGAUGGUGGUCGGGACACUGACGGUCACCGCGAGCAGAACCGCAGACGCGGUCAAGAAGUGAACCAGCACAGGGAUCUCCGGCACAACAUCCCUCCCAAAGAUGCCCGGGACCGCAUCAACAGGCGCGCCACAGAGAGAGCAGUCCACGAAAACCUGCGCCGUAUCGAGUACGAUGCAACACACGGCCCCCCGGGCCUAAGACAGUUCUCCUCACACCUCCGCCAGGUCGUGUGGCCCCACAAUUUCAAGCUCGAAAAACUUAAAAAAUACGAUGGCAAGGAAAAUCCAGAGAACUGGAUCACUCUCUAUGAAAUCACCGUCCGAUCAGCAGCGGGAGAUGAGCACGUCAUGGCAAACUACUUCCCCGUAGUCCUCGUCCAGGCUGGUCAUCAGUGGCUUCUUGGCUUACCCGAGGACUCCUUCGACUCUUGGGAAGAGCUACGCCAGGCUUUCAUCGACAACUUCAUCGCCACAUGCGAGCAGCCUGGAAACAAGUAUGACCUCGAAAGGAUAAGGGACAGGAAGAACGAACCUCUGCGCGAUUACAUCCGACGAUUCUCGGAUAUGCGUCUUAAGAUCCCAAAGAUUUCCCACGACGAGGCCAUCUCUGCCUUCAUCAAGGGCCUGCGUUUCCAUGAAGCGCUGAGGAACAAGCUGCUGCGUAAACGUCCAACAACGGUGGCGGAACUCCUCGCCACGGCCAAAAAUUACGCCGAUGCCGAUGACGCAGAAAAACUAAUCCGAGACGAUGCGAGAGGUCCCGACCAGCCUCCCCGGCGAGAUGACGGUCGUGGUCGCUACGACAACAGGAACCACCGCCGCCCCGACAACCGCGAUCACAGAGAAGUUUGGGAUCGGCGGCGCGACAACCGUGACGAUUUCAGAGGAAAGCGCCACCGCGACUACGACCACGAAGUAAAUACGGUCAAGCGUCCCAACGGGCGGCGGGACUACCAAGAAGACUACAACAAAACGUUGAAAGGACCGUGCCAACUACAUCCAAAGUCUAAUCAUACCAUGGAAGAGUGCCGCGUCCUCAAAAGCAUCUAUACACGGCGGGCCGCCCAAGACGAUUCCGCCAAGAAAAACAACAAGCGAGACGGGCACGACCACGAAGGCGAGGAUGCGGACCAAGAUAGGGACCCCCGACACCAAUACGUCAGCUCCACUGACGUGGUCCACUCCAUCUUCGGGGGCAAGGUCUCCAUCGAAUCUAAGCGAGAAAGAAAGCUAUUAAAAAGAGCUUGCCUCAACAUAGACAGCACGGACGGGCUGAUCGCAGACCCAAAAUUUCCCUCGUGGUCGCACAGGGAGAUCUCAUUCACCAGGAAGGACCAGUGGGCCGCUAUCCCAGAGCCAGGUCGUUUCCCUCUGAUCCUGGACCCUUGCAUCAACAGCAUCAGAUUCGAGCGCGUGCUCGUGGACGGGGGAAGCUCCAUCGACAUCCUCUUCCGCAACAGCCUGCCCGCUCUCAAGAUAUCUCCUGCACAACUAAAACCCUACGAUGCCCAAUUCUGGAGGGUUUUGCUAGGUCAGAGUUCAGUGCCCCUCGGACAGAUAACAUUGCCUGUCCAAUUCGGCACACCCGACCACUUUCGGACAGAGUUCAUCAACUUCGUGGUCGCGGACUUCGACGGGACCUACCACGCUAUACUGGGCCGACCAUCGCUGACAAAGUUCAUGGCAGUCCCACACUACUCAUACCUGGUCCUUAAGAUGCCUACGGAGAAGGGUGUCCUAACCGUCAGAGGCAAUGUCUACACCGCGUAUACCUGCGAAGAAGAGAGCUUCAAGAUCACCGAAGCAAUCGACCUCUCAAUCCGAAUGGCAGAAACAGCAACCCAAGCCGCGCAGUUGCCUCCCGACCAGCUCCGAUUACCCGAGCAGGAGACAGCUAGGAAGAACUCAAAAUCAAAGGAGUACAAAGAAGUACAACUGGUCGACGACAGCCCCGAGAAGACGGCCCUCAUCGGGGCCAACCUGGAUCCAAAAUAGGAAGACGCGCUCGUCAGGUUUCUAAGGGACAACGUGAGCGUUUUCGCAUGGAAACCCGCAGAUAUGCCCGGCGUCCCACGAAACCUGAUCGAGCACUCCUUAAAUGUCUCGAAGACCGCAAGACCAAUCAAGCAAAAGCUGCGACGGUUCGCUCGUGACAAAAAGGAGGCUAUUAGGACAGAAAUAACACGGCUUCUAGCAGCCGGAUUCAUAAAAGAAGUGUAUCACCCCGAUUGGCUCGCCAAUCCGGUUCUUGUACGCAAAAAGAAUAAUGAAUGGAGAAUGUGCGUUGAUUACACUGAUCUCAAUAAACACUGUCCUAAAGAUCCUUUUGGUCUCCCUCGCAUUGACGAGGUGGUCGACUCAACGGUCGGAUGCGAACUCCUCUCUUUUCUAGAUUGCUACUCUGGUUAUCACCAGAUCUCGCUAAAGGAAGACGAUCAGAUAAAAACAACCUUCAUUACCCAUUUUGGCGCAUACUGCUACACGACCAUGUCAUUCGGACUCAAAAACGCCGGGGCCACUUAUCAACGGGCUAUCCAGCAGUGCCUCCACGACGAGAUUCGUGAUGACCUCGUCGAGGCCUAUGUGGACGACGUGGUCGUAAAAACAAGGGACGCGAGCACCCUAAUCGACAACUUAGACCGAACUUUCAAGGCGCUUAAUAGGUACAAGUGGAAGCUUAACCCCAAAAAAUGCAUCUUUGGUGUUCCUUCUGGUCUACUGCUCGGCAACGUUGUCAGUCGUGACGGCGUACGACCAAACCCUUCAAAAGUAAAAGCAGUACUCGACAUGUGGCCACCCAAGAACGUCAAGGAUAUUCAGAAGCUUACCGGAUGUAUGGCCGCCCUCAGUCGCUUCAUCUCAAGACUAGGAGAAAAAGGCCUCCCUUUCUUCAAACUCUUGAAAGCAUCGGAAAAAUUUUCUUGGACAGAGGAAGCCGACGCCGCAUUCACUCAGCUUAAGACCUUUCUCACUUCACCACCUGUCCUCACAGCGCCUCAGCCCGAUGAAGACCUACUCCUUUACAUUGCUGCAACCGACAGGGUUGUUUCCACAACAAUAGUGGUCGAGCGAGAUGAACCAGGUCAUGCCUAUAAGGUCCAAAGACCCAUUUACUUCAUAAGUGAAGUCUUAAACGAGUCCAAGGCCAGGUACCCACAAAUACAGAAGCUCAUAUACACCAUUUUAAUAACAUCAAGAAAGCUGAAGCACUACUUCGACGGUCAUCGAGUCUUGGUAACCACCAGUUUCCCUCUCGGGGACAUUCUGCGCAAUAAAGACGCCAACGGCAGAAUCGUGAAAUGGGCGAUGGAAUUAUGCCCAUUUUCCCUGGAGUUCCAGAGCCGCACCACAGUCAAGUCUCAGGCCCUGGUCGAUUUCAUUGCUGAAUGGACGGAUCUCAACGAGCCUCCCGUUCCCGAUGUCUCCGACCACUGGUCAAUGUUCUUUGAUGGAUCCUUGAACAUCAACGGCGCCGGCGCUGGGAUACUUUUCGUAUCACCUAACAAGGACAAACUGCGUUACGUCCUUAGGAUCCUUUUUCCGGCAUCAAACAAUGUCGCCGAAUACGAAGCAUGCCUGCACGACAUAAGGCUAGCCGUUGAGCUGGGAGUCAAACGCCUCUAUGUCUAUGGCGACUCUGCUCUGGUUAUCAACCAGCUCAACAAGGAGUGGGACGCAACCCACGAGAAGAUGGAUCUCUACUGCAAAGAAAUUCGCAAAUGGGAAACCAACUUCUACGGCAUAGAGUACAUCCACGUGGUCCGGGAUAAGAACCAGGCAGCAGAUGCGUUGUCGAAGUUAGGGUCAUCUCGGGCCCGGAUCCCGCGGGGUAUUUUCGUCCAGGACAUCGACGAGCCAAGCGUAGGCUCUACCCUGGUCGAAAAGCAACCCACCGAGGCAAUGCUCAUAGAUGACGCCACUCCGACAACCGGUGGUCAUGAUUGGCGUACCCCGUUCAUCAAGUAUAUAUCGGACGGGACAGGCUUUCAGGACAAAACAGAGAACGAGCGCCUCAUUCCACGGUCAAAGAACUACAUCCUGGUCGACGGUAAACUCAUGCGAAAAAACGCAAGCUCUGAAGUACUGCUCAAGUGCAUAUCCCAAGAUGAUGGUAUCAAGCUCCUAGAAGACAUACAUGGUGGAUCCUGCGGCAAUCACGCCGCAUCCAGAACGUUGGUCGGAAAAGCCUUCCGGGCAGGUUUUUAUUGGCCAACCGCGGUCAACGACGCAGAAAAACUGGUUCGACCCUGCGAGGGAUGUCAGUUUUUUGCUAAAAGGACCCACGUACCUGCUCACGAAAUUCAAACCAUCCCGUCGUCCUGGCCCUUUGCUUGCUUAUGGCUUGACAUGAUCGGGCCAUUUAAACCAGCUCCCGGCAACUUCAAGUUUGUUUUCGUGUUAAUCGAUAAGUUCUCCAAGUGGAUCGAAUACAUGCCUCUGGUCAAAGCAACCUCCGAGAAGGCUGUAGAGUUCCUCAGUCAAAUCGUACACAGAUUCGGCAUCCCGAACAGCAUAAUCACCGACCUGGGUACUCAGUUUACUGGCACCACAUUUUGGGACUUCUGCGAUGAUAGGGGCAUAGUCAUAAAAUAUGUGUCAGUGGCUCACCCACGGGCCAAUGGUCAAGUUGAACGCGCAAACGGAAUGAUCAUUGACGCCCUAAAGAAAAGGCUGUACACCGAGAAUGACAGAGCACCCGGUCGAUGGAUGAAAGAGUUGCCGGCAGUGGUCUGGGGCCUCUGAACUCAGACCAGUCGGAACACAGGAGUGUCUCCCUACUUCAUGGUUUACGGCUCCGAGGCAGUCCUACCGUCUGACAUAACCUUCGGAUCUCCUAGGAUUGAACACUUCGACCAGGCGAUAGCCGACAACGCCAGAGAACUCGAAAUCAACUGCAUGGAGGAAAAGCGUUUGAAUUCUUGUCUCCGAACAGCAAAGUAUCUCGCGGCAGUCAGGCGAUACCACAACAGGAACGUCAAGGACCGUUCCUUCAUGGUCGGCGAUCUAGUACUUAGGUGGAGAACAAGCCAAGAGGGAAUGCACAAGCUAUCCACUCCCUGGGAAGGACCCUUCGUGGUCGCCGAAGUCACACGACCCACGUCCUACAGAUUGGCAUACCCAGACGGAACACGCGUGCCUAACUCUUGGCACAUAGACAAACUGCGACGAUUCUAUCCAUAAGUUCUAAUAACUUUCGCUUGUAAAUAUCUUAUAAUUGGCAAUAAUAAAGUUUUCUAUUUUUUUUGCCUAUACUUUGCUGCACGCAGAACUCGGCAAACCUUCUACAACGGAAGCUCUUAGCGACUACAAAGUCAAAUACGGUGACACGUCACUCAGAUAAUUAUACAGCGCUCAAAAUAACAGUUAUGACAAAAGCAAACUUUAUUACAAACUUUACAUACAAAGUUUACAAUAAAUACCCUGACGGGCUGACGCUAGUCUAUUCCUACAGACUACCCUAUCGGCCUAACUGCUCGGGCUGAUCACCCGCUUGGCCCUGCUGCCCGGACGAAGGGGUCGGGGCCACCGGUGCCUGGCUGAUCGAGACCGCAGGCGUCGACCGCCCAUCUCCCACAAUGGACGCGCCUGACAGCUCCCUGGCCGACCUGUCUGAGCCCGGCUGGUCUGGGGGAGUGGCCGUUCUGCACAGAUUGAUGUCGCCGAUCACCGUCGACGACAAGUCCAGCAGACCACCCCGAAGCUCGUCCGCCUCUUGCGGGCCGACCUCCUUGGGGUACCCCUUCUCCAGCCUGGACAAGUCGACCAGGGGGUAGUGGGCGCGCACCAUGCUAAGGACAUGUGCGCCAGCAAACUCCCCAGCGUCCUUCACGAAUUGCUGGAGCCGGUCCCACGCCCGUUGCGCCUUCUCCACCGGAGUCAACUUCAGCGCGCGGGGCUAGCUCUCCGGGAGCUCGGUGCUGAUCAAGUCGAGGACCGGGGACACUCCUUUCCAGAUCUUACAACAAUUGACCUUCCAGGAGUCCCAGUCCUUGACUACCUCGUCCAGGUGCUUCUUGGCGUUCACCUUGAGCACUGCAAGUCAAGCAGGACGUUAUUUUCGACAUAUCAAAAAACAAAGGGGGCGACAAGCGACAGAUAACGAGGCGGCGCGUAUUACCAGACAACUCCCGGUCCUUCCGACCCAACUCCUCUCCUGCUCGGCGCCCGGACUCCAGCGCACCAGCGAGCUCUUGGCUGAGCUGCUCCUUCUCCUAUCGGAGGCGUGCCACCUCCUCCUCCAAGUCUAAGUGAAUCAUAACCUGGUCAGUAAAUCAAACUACACAGCUACACAAAGCUGCUCGGAGCGCGUAACUAACCUUCUCGCUGCCGGUACUGGUUGGCCAAGUGACGGGUAAGCUCGAGACGAUGCUCCUCCUGGGGAUUCAUCUCGGCCACCUUCUCCCCAACCUCCAACCGCAGCCGGUCCACCUCCGCGGCCAGGGCCUUGUUCUCGGCCACGACGCCUUCUAUCUGGUCGAAGCACCAUUUCCGGUACUUCGCCGUUUUCAUCGCGCCCUACAAAGCAAACAUAUGUCGACCAAGCAAAGACAACGCACAUAAUGUACAGCAGUACAAAGAAUUGCUUACCUUGACUUCGACGAGGCGUUUGGCCGCGCGCUCCACCCUGGCGGCCUCCUCGGUCUCGGUGAGCUCCUCAUGCCCGAUAAAGUGAUCCCCGCAUUGGCGCCACACAUACACGUGUUGGCGGCCAUCACAGGGACGACCUUCAAUCUCUUCCACCUCGUUGUCGGAGGCCGCCUGGGUUUCCUCCUCCCUCGCUGCAUUGCCCUCGGUAGUAGUUGCAGGCAUUACUGGCCCCCGGACCAGACCCGGGGAGCCUGCAGUCGAAGCGGCCCCUGCUCGGGGCGGCGUGGGGACCUCAUUCUCCUCGACGGGAGGAGGGGUCGGGGCUCUGCCCUAGCCUUCUGUGGCGUUAGCAGGGGGAGGUGUCCCCGUAGCUUUCUCAACCCUGGUCGGGCUGCUCGCCGUAGUCGGUGCCGCGGCCGGGAGCUCCUCGGUGCUCACAGGCACGGCUGCAGCCGUAGGCUGCUCUGUGGUCUGCGGCGCCGCGUCUUCAGCAGCGCAGACAGGCUCACCCGUCCCCUGGCCGGCGGCAUGGCCGGGGUUGACAUCCGACGCCGCGCUAAAGGAACAAAAGUGCAAUUAAAAAAAAUGCCAAAAUGCGUAAGUCGAACACUUACAGGUCUGAGCGACGGUGGGUCGCGGUGAACCUCCUCCUCGUCCGGCCAGUCGGCACCUGUGCCCCCGACUCUACAACACGAGGCGCAGGAGGGUCGCCGGCCACACGAUCAGCAGUGGUCGGCCUGCUGUCCGGACGGCUAUGAGGCCUCCGGACCAACGACGGUACGGCCUCCUCCUCCUCGUCGUCGUCGUCGAUCCGAACGAACCGACGUCACUUUGGCGCUCGGCUGCUCUCUGCCGGCAGCGUCGGCGCGGGCGACGGAUCCGCGGACAUUGGCCUUUUCCCCGCCACCCUAUCCUCGGUGGUCGGGACGGGGCGGGCCUGGUCUUCCUCACUACUGGUGUAACGAGUACACCGAGCAGCGUCCUCUUCUGGCGGAUCUUCUCCCGCAAGAUUCUCCAUCCCCGGUGCCAGUGACACAUAUACUGUGCACCAGUCGACAUCGCCGAUCUGCAAAAGCAACAAAGAUGAGCCAGCUGCAGACGAUAUACGAAUGCUAAAACAAAAUAAUCUGUAACACACCUUUGGUGCUGGUCGUCCCAACUUGAAGGCUUGCACCCGAUCACUGCCACGGAUGAAGCCUCCGUCCGUGAAGUUGAACAGCUCGUUCAACAGCUGUUGUACCUCCGCCUUCUCCAAGAUCUCAGGUCGCAUCCUAGUCGGGUCCACGCUUCUGGCAUACUCGUACGCCGAGUGCACCCUCUUCUGGCAGGGCAUCACCCGACGACAAAUGAAGUUGCCGACCACGCCAAGCCCGUCCAGGCGCGACAAAUCGAUCAGCUUCAUGAGGUCCGCCACUUGACCAUCGAACUCCGGGCGGUCAGUCCAGCUUACCCUCUUCUCAGGAAUGUAUCCCACGUCGCAGAACGUGGAGCUGCCCGGUUCUUUCCUGAUGUAGAACCACUUCCUGUACCAUUCUGUCAAGGAAGUGUUCCAUGGACAGUGCAGGUAGCGAUUCUUCAUUCCGUGACGAAGGUUGAGGUAUACUCCACCUGCAACCUUGGAGCCUGCAACUGCUCCCUUCUUUCUUAAACAAAAAAGAUAGCAAAAAAGGUCGAAGUGCGGCUCUAUGCCAACAUAGGCUUCGCACAAAUAGAUAAAAGUAGAAAUAAGAAGGAUUGAGUUCGGGUGCAGAUUGCAAAUCCCGCUCUCAUAAUAAAGAAGAAGACCCUGAAGAAAGGGAUGAACAGGAACCCCAAAACCCCUCUUCACGAAGUCUUCGAACACCACGAUCUCACCGGCAGGGGGGUCGGGGAAGCUCUCUCCUUCCGGCGCUCUCCAGCCGCCGAGCUUCGGGCCGUGCAGAAGCCCCAUGUCGACGAGGUCACCGAGAGACUUGGUGGUGCUGCGAGAUUUCUUCCACUCCUUGGCCAUCAGCUCGGCCCUCUUCUUGGAGUCGCUCUUCGCCAUUGGAGGUGAGGAAGUGGAUUUGAGUUAGGAAGAUGCGGGUGAUUGCAGGAGGCAAGAGUCGAAGGCUUGAAGGCAAUGGUAGGGUAAGCAGUACAGGCGGAACUGUCGAGCUCUUAUAACCCGCAACUUCAUCCGUCCCACUUCCCGCAUUCUUGGGAAGUGGGCGGGCCAUACGGCGGACGCGACGGUUCGGUUUUCAAUGAUUAUCGACAAUUAAUGCGGCGGAGUUUUCGUACAAAUUGAUGGUUUCCUUUUCUCAAACCACGCAAAGGGCGGCUGUACAGUUGCCAGGCGCAACUUUUCAUGCAUCCAUCUGACAUCCCGUCAGAAGGCCUCGUCACGUCAACUGUUUGUGUGGAAAAAUUUUCAAAACAAGCAGACAAAACUGGUAGGGAGUCAACAACCCGGAGACUGUACCGACCACCGAGCACUUGAUGCUCGGGGACUGGUCGCCUAGUCUAUCGACUCGGAACUUCAAAGACUGUACCGACCACCGAGCACUUGAUGCUCGGAGACUGGUCGCCUAGUCUAUCGACUCGGAACUUCAAAGACUGUACCGACCACCGAGCACUUGAUGCUCUGGGACUGGUCGCCUAGUCUAUCGACUCGGAACUUCAAAGACUGUACCGACCACCGAGCACUCGAUGCUCGGGGACUGGUCGCUCAGUCUAGCAGCCCGGAACUUCGAAAUAUUGCACCGACCACUGAGUGCUCGACACUCGGGGACUGAUCGAUUAGUCUAGUCAAUUGUAGAUGGACUGGUAAAUUUAAUUUUUUAGACCUUGCUACAAGGCUCAUACUUCGCCUUCCAACAAGCACGGGGACUACAUCGGUACGAUGCAUCUGGCGAUGCAUCUCAGUUACAGAAUCUCUUUGAGGACUUUUCUUUUGACCCUGGGACCACGUGCCUACGUCACCUACUACCAGGCUCGGGGACUAAGUGGGCACACUUCACCUUGCGGUGAAUAUGCUUGCUUUUUUUAGGUUUAUACCUUUCAAAAAAGUAAAGUGGGCACACUUCACCAGGAAAGAAAUCUUUUUUAAUUUAGAGCACCAUGCAUUCUUCGAACAACCUGCUUCUUCGAUGUUAAUGUUAGUCGACUAUCUUUUGAGUUGGUCAAAGUGUCGUUGCGACUGUUUGGGCGAUUUUCCUGUUUACUGGAAACGACGAGCCUCACUGAUCGAGAAAGCUCAAGACGGCGUGUUACAUCACAAUACAUGGUGCUCGGGGACUAGCUGUGGGGGUAUAAACCCCUAUACCCUUACGGCUAGACUUGGGCCAGGAGGUUUGGCCCACUACGAGACGAGCUCAAGGCUUGAUCCGACAGCUUGGAGUUUCGUGCAAGGAAACAAGACGUGGAGAUCGAGCAAGAUUCUAGUCGGUUAGAAUAGGAAUUGAUAUCGAACUAUCUAUGGCAAUUGUAACCGACUAGGAUUAGUUUUCAGAUCUGUAACCCUGCCCUCCAGACUAUAUAAGGAGGGGCAAGGGACCCCCCUAGUACAUAUUAUUCUCUCAACACAAAUCAAUACAACCAGACGCAGGACGUAGGUAUCACGCCAACUCGGCGGCCGAACCUGGAUAAAAAGCUUGUCCUUGUCUUGCGUCACCAUCGAGUUCGUAGUUUGCGCACCGUCUACCGAUAAACUACUACCGUGGGUAUACCCCAAGGUAGACUGCUGACUAGCUUUCGUCGACACGAUCCCCUUGACUAACUGGUCCAUGGUACCUCUGUUGAUCGCCCUGCUGAGAAUUGAAACGUUGGCGGUUGUUGCCUCCAGAACCUUGGGCUAACAUUCUUCUCUUCUUAUCUUGACCUUUACGCAUGUUAUCCAACACAAUAGCACGGUUUACCAGAGCCUGGAAGGUAGGAUAUGUGUUUCCAGCCAACUGCAACCUAAGUUCAUAGUAAAGACCUUUCAUGAAGAGGUGUUGUUUGUCAGCAUCUUCUCUAACUUCGUUUGGAGCAUAGCGAGCCAACUGCUCAAACAUGUCAUGAUACUCAGCCACAGACAUAGAACCCAUCCUGAGAGAUCUGAAUUCUUCCUGCUUGAGCUCCAUCAUUCCUUCAUUGAUAUGUCGUGCUCUAAAGUCUCUGCAAAACUCUAACCAAGUGACGGGAGGAGCAUUGUUGGGACGAGCAGCUUGAUAUGACUUUCACCAGGUCUGAGCUGCACCCUGAAGUUGUCCAGAAGCAUACAACACCUUCUCUAAGUCAUUGCACUGUGCUAUGUUUAGUUGCCUCUCCACAGCACGUAGCCAAUCAUCUGCCUCCAUAGGAUCAGCUGAAUGUGUAAAUACCGGAGGUCUUCCCUUCAUGAAUUCUCCCCGCUUAUCUCUCACAUGAACAGGUGGUGGGGCUGGUGGAGGUUGCUGUUGUAGGUGCUGCAUGAAGACGUGCAUCAUCUCAUUCUGAGUUUGCAUAAGUUCCUCCACAGUGAUUGGGCCAUUGCCACCAUUGCCAUUGCCAUUGCCACGGCCUCUGCCUCUACCUCUUCCACUUGCUGCCAUCUGCAUUCCAAGGUAUAUAAACACAUCUUAGUAAUGUCCAACAUGACAAUUACAAGAGUUAACGGAAUCUGAAAUUUUCUGGGUAACAUCCAACAUCAGCAGAUCAGAAAAUCAGUCAUAUCUCGAGUUCCAGAAUUCAAAAGGAUACAUGCUAUACACCGUUGGAAAGAUGAAGAAAUUGUCUACAACUUUCAUUUAGAUCAUAUUACCAGAUUCCAAUGUGAGAUUAAUCAAAAACUGGGUACAACCGAAACGGUUCCAGAAUUCCAGACUGCGCAGAAACCUCAACUUGAAACAGUCAUAACUCUCAGCUCAUAAUCGAUAAUAUGGUCAUUCUUGCGGCAUUGGAAAGAUAUGGAUGUCUACUUGUUCCCAGAAAAAUUUGAUGGAUAUUGCAUGAACAUAUUUUGAGAUGUACCAGAUUCCUUGCAGACUGCUCCAGAAAACAGCAAAGGACAGAAACAGAAUUUUAACCAACCCCAACUAUUUAGUUCAUUAAUCCUUAUGCCUUAAGCCUAUAAACUAAAUGAAAUUGUAGAGGAAAUCCACAAGAUCAUUGCACUCAUUACAAAGAUCCAAAUCAAGCAUAAGCAUAAUAACAAACCAAACCAAGCAUCAAAGGUUCACACUUCAAGCAUUAACUCAACUUACGGUACUAUCGUUCUCUUCCUAUUAAGGGCAAAGAUUCCUAAAAUUCUCUUUCAACCAUGUAAGCAGGUGGUAAGAGAAGGUUCUAAAAGCAUAUUCAAAGCAAGGAGUGGAGAUGAGAACAAGUCUUUAAAAUAAACAACAAGGUGAAGAUGAAUAGGGUAUAGUGUAGAAGAAAAUAUCAAGGUUUAUAGAACAAGGAUUUUAUAGCAAUUUCAAAACCUUAAGACGGCCAAUUUCUAACUAGGCUUGCGUCCGACAGUCAACAAAGCUUUGAUACCAAUUUGUCACACCCAUAUUUUAAGAACAAAAUAGGAUGCAUAAAAGACUCAUAUGUGCCCCAGAAACAGUCGGUACACAUAAGUAGACAAAUCUCAAAUGUACCAUUGCAGUGUUUAUUACACAACGGAACAUAGUAAAUCACAUAGUCUCAUACAAAGAUAAUAGCAUAAAGUAAACAACGCUCUCAACGGAAGCUCCACACAGGGACACUGCUGACUGGUUGACUCCAAACCUAGUACUCAUAGCGAUAAUCCUCAUUCCAGUCAUCUUCAUUAUCAUAUCCUGAGGUGUUGGGAAAUUGCAAGAGUGAGCACAUAUCGUACUCAACAAGUAUAACCAGGGGUUCAUGAGGCUGAAAUAGGCACUGGUUUGACUGCAAUUAGCUUUUAAUAGUGGAUAGCAUGUUCAUAAUUAAUGAGCAAUUCUCAAGGUAGCAUAAAUAAUCCAUUAAUCCCAUGAUCAAGUGUAAGCAUAAUUAAUUCUUAGCAUAAACGAAAAUCAAAUGAACACAACAACUUAAUAAGCUCAUCGUCGGCGCGGCAAGAACCCCCAAGGCCGCUCAUAACCGUGAGCACGGCUAGUAUACCAGUUUUACACUCUGCAGAGGUUGUACAUCUUUACCCAUGAGUCAUGAUUUACCCUUUCGCCCGAGGCCCGUCGACCUCUUAACCCACUACCAAGGAAGGUCGGCAGGGACCACUAUGAAGCCUUUCAAAAGUUCGUCUAACAAGUUAGGGCCGCAAGGUUUCCUUUGCGCGCAGAUAUAGAGCCCCCCUUCCGAUGGCACAAUGACUCGCAGCCUAUACUCAUACAGACAGAGGCCACACUAUACCCAAAACGGUUCAGCCCCUCCGCCCUUUCGGGUAACCUCUAACAAGCUAGAAAAGUGCUUCAUACUGAGCUAAAGCCAGAGCCAUUAUAGCCCUCAUGGUUGCACUAUUGUCCCGGUGAUCACUUACAGACAAGAUCUCAUACAGUUAUUUGUCAUUCUUUUAUGUUCAUUGCAUAGCUAUUAAUCAUCUUACAAGAUCAUGGAUUAUAUCAAGCACUAGCACAUUUAUAACAAAUGCAUAUCAAGUAGGUAGCAAGGAAUACAGGUAACAAUCAUCUAUGAUUUUGCUAAGGUCGACAAGGUGAUAGCAUGCAUAUGAUAUAUAUGUGUAGUUAUAAGUGAAUAGGUAAAAGGAUGAUCCCAAGUUAUACUUGCCUUGCUCAAAGCUCUCCUGAGCUUGCUGGUCUUCAAAAGCUUGAUCUUGCUCACCAACGUACGGCUCACCGUCUAAUCCCGAUCAUCAAUCAACAACACGCAAUCCAACGUAGACAAUCAUACACAAAGCAAACAAAAUAUAAUUAGAAUAAUACACCAAACAGUGGUAAAACAAAUAUAAAAGUUUAUGAAAGUAUUCUACGCAGCGCUACGAUCACACAAACGUAAAGUUCACGAAAAUCGGAAUUAAAACGGAGAAGUUAUGCAUUUUCCAAGAUUUCCUAUAGAGAAAUAAAUAAUUAAGUAAUACCAGGAAAUUAGAAAGUUUCAAAACAGAGAAUAAAUAGUUCUAACAUGUAGAGCUCGUAAUUACGAAUCUAAUGGAAUUUGAAUGGACAAAAACGGAGUUACAAUGAAUAUUUUAUGACCAAUUCAAUUUCAGUGGCAAAGUUGUAAAUAACAGGGAACGUAUUUCACCCAACCAGAACCAGAAUGCGCUUUUAGAAGGUGAAAGCGUAAACCGGGAAUGCGCAAAGGGACCGCGGGUUGAAUCUAAAAGAAAACAGGGGCUCUUUAACAAAUUGCGCAGCGAAGGGUUAUCUUCUAAUCUUGCGCGUUGAUCCAAGAUCCGACGGCUUGCAGCGAUUCCAGGAGCAGCAGGCGGCGGGCCGGCCGUCUGCCUCCUCUCCGGCGCGGUGGCAGCCAUGGACAGGGAGCCGAAGCUCGCCGGCGUCGUCCGGCUUCCCGUUUCCGAGCGCCGUUUCUAGAAAGAAAAACACCGGGAGUUGGAGAAUCACUUCGCGAACUCACCUAGACGGUCUACUCGAGCCGAGAAACAAGCAGGCCUCGGUUUCGCGGCAAGGAAGGAGAGCUCGCCUCGGCGAGAUCCAAAGCACAAGAAAAACAGCGGCUAGGGCACGGUUUGGCGAACUAGAAGCAAAUAGGGGGUCGCGGGGGGGUGAUUUGGGAGCUUUAUAGGUCUCGGUUCGCUUCCUUGGCAAGGAAAUCCCGAGAUUUCGGGAUUGAGAUACGGCAUGGUUGUGCCCGGCUCGGUUACGUGCAGAGGAUGGAGACGGCUGACACGUGGGCCCAAGGUGGCAGCGAGAGAAGGAAAAGGGAGAAGAGGGAGCUGGAUGGCUGACGCGCGGGCCGAACUGUCAGCCACAGAGAGAGGGAGUUGGGCCGCGCGAGCCGCUGCGGCUCUGCUGGGCUGGCUAACGGGCCGAGAGCAAGGUGGAAGGGGCAGUGGGCCGCGUGCGGGGGAGAAAAACGAGCAGGCCGGGGGAGAGGGGGAAAAGGGACUGGGCUGGUUUCCAAAGGUUGGGGGUCUUUUCUCUUUUUUUUCUUUCUUUUCUUUUUCCAAAACCUUUUCCAAAUCUAAUUUUGAAUGCAAUUAAAUUCUAGCCAAAGGCAAAGCAACACAAAAUGAAAUAUGUCUCAGCAUGAAUGCACAAAAUCAUGUUACUAAGCUUAUGAUAAAUUUUAAUUUCCACAAAAAUUGUUUAUUUGCUACAUUAAAUGCUCACUAAAAUUCUUAAAUAAUUCAAAUUAUAUCCUAUUAAUUGAAAUUCAAAUUUUGGGUGUUACACAUGAGAGAGAGAGAGAGUAGAAUAGCUAGGUAUGGACUAUAUUUGCUCAAAUGAGGUUGCUUAAGAUGGUUAGAUGAAGUCUCUCCUCUCUUUUUUUUCUAUGUUUUCUUCUCUAAUUAGUGAAUCCAAGAAAUAUAUAUGUAGUGCUUUCCAUGAAUGGUGUUUCCAUGCUUGUGAAGAAAGAGAAAGAUAAGUUUUCUAUUGUUUAGGAUGUUCAUUUUUAUGUAAAAUUGAUUUCAUUAUGCAAUAUGUAUUUUUAUAUAUUUCCAUGUUUCCUUAUCAAAUUUAUUAUAGUGAAUCAAGGUAUAUAUUUAGUUGAAUCCAUCAAUGGUGUUUUUCUACCUUGUCAAUUUUAUUUAGUUGUUAGUUUUUUUAUUAUUACUUAGGGUUUUGUCUUUAUUUUUAAUGUUAGCUCCGAGGUUUUCAUCUUCACAAGUUGUUGUUUGAAAGGUUAGAUGACAAUUUUCCUAAACUACCUGUUUUGCAUUGAGAUCACUUAAUUUACUAAUUUUUGCACAGCUCAUGAUGGAGCGGUCCUUCUGGAUGUAUAACUUAUCAAGACUAGAUCCAUCAUACAUACCUGAGGUCCAUAGGUUUGUUGAUGCUGCUAAGAACCAUGCUUUGAGAACAAAGACGAAGCACAUAUAUUGUCCAUGCAUCGACUGCAGAAAUAUUAAUAUUUUUGAAGAUACUGAAGCAAUCAUUUCUCAUCUGGUAUGCCUAGGAUUUAUGAAGGAUUACUUGAUUUGGACAAAGCAUGGAGAGGGUAGCUCGGCACCUUAUACAAUUGGGGACCCUGCGAAUAUUGACGUCGACGGUCCAGACAUGCCUGAUGAAGGAUUUCAGUUUUUGCACGACACACACCGAAGUGAACAUGUUGUGCCAAAUGUCACUGCUGGUGGUUUUGCUGGGAGAAAUGCUGAUGACAGAACUCAUAUCUUACCAAAUGAUACAGCCACAGAAGAUUUUGAAUUCUUAGAGGCAAUGUUGCAUCGUCAUACUGAACCAUCAAUGUUAUUAAUGAAAGGGAUGGAGGCCUUGAAGAAGGCGGCUGAAGAGCCUCUGUAUGAUGAGUCCAAGGGUUGUACCAAAGAGUUCACGACGCUGAGAUCUGUGCUAAAACUACUGAUGGCAAAAGCCAGGUAUGGUCUGUCUGAUGUUGGAUUCGAUACGUUCUUAAGUAUUAUCAGAGACAUGCUUCCCAAGGAGAACAAAUUGCCUACUAACAUGUACCAUGCAAAGAAGCUGAUCAGUCCGCUCACUAUGGGUGUCGAGAAGAUCCAUGCGUGCAGGAAUCAUUGUAUCCUAUAUCGUGGUGAUGAAUACAAGGACUUGGAUAAGUGUCCAAAGUGUGGUGCAAGUCGGUAUAAGACAAAUAAAGACUAUCGACAUGAGGAUUGUGCUGCCUCCAUGUAUACAGCAGGGAAGAAGCGAAAGAAGACCCAAAAGAAGACCCAGCAGAGUUCAAAACCCACCAGCAAAGAUAAAGAAGAGGUUGAUUAUUAUGCGUAGAAAAAGAUUCCUGCUUUAGUGAUGUGGUACCUUCCAGUGAUAGAUCGGCUGAGGAGUUUGUUUGCUAACCCUGACGAUGCAAAACUAAUGAGUUGGCAUGCUUCGGAUGAGCACAAAAAUGAUGGCAAGCUUCGCCAUCCAGCCGAUGGAAAGCAGUGGCAAGAUUUUAAUGAGAACCAUCAAGACUUUGCCAGCAAACCAAGAAAUGUUAGGUUUGCACUGAGUACCGACGGAAUGAAUCCAUUUGCUGAGAGGAGCAGCAAGCACAGCACAUGGCCGGUGAUUCUCACCAUCUACAACCUUCCUCCAUGGUUGAUGCAGAAGUGAAAAUACCUUUUGCUAACCAUACUUAUCUCUAGACCAGUCCAACCUGGAGUUGACAUGGAUGUUUUCUUGGAGCCCUUAAUGGAGGAGAUGAAAAUGUUAUGGAUACAAGGUGUUGAAAUGAUGGACGAGUAUCGCAAAGAUUCAUUCACACUAAGAGCAAUUAUUUUUGUUACGAUCAAUGAUUACCCUGCUCUCUUCACAUUGUCAGGGCAAUUCAAGGGAAAGGUUGGUUGUGUGGUGUGCAUAGAUGGAACCCAUUAUGUGUCCCUUAAUGCAUCUAAGAAAAUAGUGUACAUGAGGCAUAGACGCUUCUUAUCAAAAGGGCACAGGUACCGCCUAAAAAAGAUGGAUAAGUACUUCGACAAUAAUGAUGAAAGGAACUCAGAUGCACCAUCAGGUAAUAGCAAAGGCCAGAGAGUUUUCAAAAUAGUGAGCAACAUCAACUUUGUGUUCGGAAAGAAGACAAAGGAUGGAAAACCAAGAAAGGAUGUCAAACCAACUCCAGGGGCAACAUUCAAGAAGAAGUCCAUUUUCUUCGAGUAUUUGCCAUACUGGAAAGAAUUGGACAUACGACACGCGAUCGAUGGUAUGCACGUCCAGAAGAACGUGUUUGAAAGCCUAAUUGGCACAUUGCUAGAUAUCAAGACGAAGACAAAGGAAGGACUCAAUUCACGCUUCGACAUGGUACAGUUAGGUAUAAAAAAAGAGCUUCAUCCUGUUCUUCAAGAAAAUGGAAAGUACCAUCUCCCAGCAGCAAGCUACAACCUCAGCAUAGAUGAGAAACAUGUGAUAUGUGAGUGGUUGAAGAAUUUGAAAGUCCCCUCUGGAUUCUGCUCUAGUAUACGAAGUAUUGUGUCAAUGAAAGACCUUACACUCACCAACUACAACUCACAUGAUUGUCAUGUAAUGCUGACUACUUUCCUCCCUAUUGCAAUAAGGGCUAUCAAUCCAGUGUUCUUGAAGAUGGCAGUCACACGAUUGUGCUAUUUUUUCAAUAAGGUCACACAAAAGGUAAUUGACCGUGAUGAGUUAGAAUCCCUUCAGCAAUUCGCAGUGGAGACAGUGUCACAGUUUGAGAUGUGUUUUCCCCCAUCAUUCUUUGAUAUCAUGGUGCACCUUGUGGUGCACUUAGUUCCUCAAAUACAAGCAUUGGGUCCCAUGUAACUGCAUGAAAUGUGGACGUACGAGCGUUUUAUGGCAAUACUAAAUGGCUAUGUAUCAACUCGUGCUCGUCCUGAGGCAUCCAUGAUAGAGGGGUACUGUACUGAAGAGGCAAUUGAGUCCGGAGGACCAUUCUGCAAUAGUGUCCUAAAAGACCAGGUCGCAAUAGGUUUGCCUCCAUCAAGGCAUGAGGGUAGGCUGCAUGGAAGUGGGAGGAUUGGACGGAAAUCAUUCAUCCCGCCAGAUUACAAUACAGUCCUUGAGGCACAUCACAACAUCUUACAUCAGCUCUCGAUUAUGGAGCAUUUGCUCGGUCAACACUUGAAUGAGCUUCGAGAACAUAAUCCUGGGCAAACGAAUGAUUGGAUAAUGAAGGAACACAAGAAACAAUUGUACACUAGGCUGUAUGGAAGUGGGAGGAUUGGACGGAAAUCAUUCAUCCCGCUAGAUUACAAUACAGUCCUUGAGGCACAUCACAACAUCUUACAUCAGCUCUCGAUUAUGGAGCAUUUGCUCGGUCAACACUUGAAUGAGCUUCGAGAACAUAAUCCUGGGCAAACGAAUGAUUGGAUAAUGAAAGAACACAAGAAAUAAUUGUAUACAUGGCUAAGGGAGCAGGAUAUUCCAUCUGGGGAAACAAUUGAGGAACAAACCAUCAAGGCUUUGGCAUCUGGACCAUCACGCCAAGUGACAACAUGGCAAACAUAUGACAUAAGUGGAUUCACAUUUCAUACCAAAUCCAAGGAUAAAAAGAGCAUGACAUAAAAUAGUGGUGUUCGAUGCGAGGCCAUAGACGACGAAAUUGGUGAUAUUAUUACAUACUUUGGCUUCAUCGAGGACAUAUGGGAACUAGACUAUGGUACAUUUCAGAUCCCCGUGUUUCGAUGUCAAUGGGUAGAAGAUAAACAUGUCACAGUGGAUAAUUAUAGGGUCAGAGUUCUUGAUCUAAGUAAAGUGGGAUACAAAGAUGACCCGUGGAUCCUUGGUAACCGUGCUGCACCUUGUUCUAUGCUGAACAGCUCCUUUCUAAGAAUGAGAAGAAAACUACUGACAAGUUGAAGCAUGUAGUUUUUCCAGGAAAGCAACAAGCAAUAGGAGUUGAUGGUGUAGCGGAUCUGGAAGAUUUUAACCAGUUCAGCGACAUGUCCCUCUUUGUGGAUGACUAUCCUGCUAAGAUAAGAAAUGUUGAGCGAAGCAUCUCACAAAGUUCUUUGCCUUAGGUGCGCGCUGAUGGACAAGGAAGAAUAGUAACUGCCUAGAUUGUAUUUGUCAUUCAUCAUGUAAACUCUAGUCAUCAUGUAAUCUCACUCAAAUUUAUGAAACUAUAUGUGAGACCUUUCGAUUUCGAUUUAGAACUACACUUUCGUAACGCUCUGUCAAAUGCCACAUAAUUAUGUUACAAAUAAUGUAGAAACAAUAUAAUUAUAUUAUAAUAUCAAUACAUAAAUAACAUAUAUAACACUAAAAAUUUAAAAGAAAUUUAGAAACAAUAUAAUUAUAUUAUAAUAUCAAUACAUAAAUAAUAUAUAUAACACUAAAAUUAAAAAGAAAUUUAGAAACAAUAUAACUAUAUUAUAAUAUCAAUAUACAAAGAAUAUAUAACACUAAAAAUUAAAAAGAAAUUUAGAAACAAUAUAAUUAUAUUAUAAUAUCAAUACAUAAAUAAUAUAUAUAACACUAAAAAUUAAAAAUAAAUUUAGAAACAAUAUAAUCAUAUUAUAAUAUACAUUAAAUAUAUGAUACAAAUAUAUUUUACAUUAAAAAUAAUGUAGAAACAAUAUAAUAUACAAGUUAUUUUACAUUAUGUUACAACAAAUAAUGUACAAACAAUAUAAUUGAAAAUUAUUUCUACUGGCGGUUCACAUAGCAAACCGCCUGUAGAAAUGCAUUUCUACAGGCGGUUCACAUAGCCAGCCGCCUGUAGAAAUGCAUUUCUACANNNNNNNNNNNNNNNNNNNNNNNNNNNNNNNNNNNNNNNNNNNNNNNNNNNNNNNNNNNNNNNNNNNNNNNNNNNNNNNNNNNNNNNNNNNNNNNNNNNNAGCUGGCCGCCGCUCCGCCUCCGGUCUCCGCGGCCGUUGCUCCGCGCCCGACCCCAAGCCCAGCAGGUAUCCCCGCCCCCCCUCUCUUCUCCGACGUCCACGCUCCGCCUCCGGUAACAGCCACCGCCGCCGCCCCGCCGUUGCGCCCCACGGCCUCCCCAUCGCCGCCGCCGCCGCCCACCCCCACCUCCUCGUUCCUCCCCCUCCCCUCCCCUGCGCACCACUGAGAAGGUCCCCCACCCUCCCCUACGCAGCACGGGCACAGAACCCUCCCCUGCGCGAGGUUGAAGAAGAUCCUGACGUGUGGGGCCCACACGUCAAUGACCAUAUGAUUUGUUUUUGGAAGGAUAUUUAGAAAAUCAUAGUAAAUGCUAGAAAAAUCGUAAAAUAGCAAAUAUAGACUUUUUGGAAUCCUUGUAAAAUUGUCUAUCCAGUAGAUCUAUAAUAUGUCAUGUUUUAGUUUGAAAUUUUAGCUUUAAAAAUAGAUUUGGGCAGUUAGGUUUUAAUUGCUUAUUGUAUUUGUCUUUUUCAUAAUUGUAGUAGUAGUGCUCAAAUAAAUAUGAAAUUAUUGUGAUAUGCUUUUCAUAUGAUAUUGGAGGUCUAGUAAUUGUUUCAUGAAUUUAGGAAUAAUAGAUUAAGAGAUAUAAAAAUAACUAAUGCCCUAUGUUGCUUUGCUCUUAUUCUUAGUAGAUUUGCAUGUUUAUAUUGUUUGACUCAGUUAAGAUGUGUUGCUUUGCUCUUAUUCUUAGUAGAUUUGCAUGUUUAUAUUGUUUGACUCAGUUAAGAUGUGAAUCUUGCCUUAAGGUAAAUAUAUGACUUGUAGUACUUUUCAUAAGCUUUCCCCAAAGCUAAACAACACAAUUUUUGGUUAAGCACAUGUGUAGUUAUAGUAUUUUAAAGUAAUGUUUAGAACAAAGUUCACAAUUUAGUAAGCUUUCUAGAAAAGAUGUAGCAAAUAUUCACUUUUAAUUAUUUAUAAGUCAACUAUUUAUUAGUCAACGAUUGACUUAGAGUAUUAUCUUUAGUGUUCAUACUAUACUAUAUAACAUUUCUGAUAACAUAUAUGCUUUAGAAUCUUGCAAUGACGACUUCUCCAAGUGAAAACACGGAGCAGGCACAAGGGUCCGGCCCUAUGGAGCAAGCACCAGGGUCUGGCCCCACCGUGCAAGAAAAAGGGACAGACCACACCGAGAAGGCACCAGGCUCCGGCCCCACGGUGCAAGAAAAAGGGUCAGACUGCACCGAGAAGGCACCAGGGUCUAGCCCCACCGUGCAAGAAAAGGGGUCCGACCGCACGGAGCAAGAAAAAAGGCCCGAGCACGCUGAGAAGGAACAAGGGUCCCACAACACGGAGCAGGCAGAAGGGUCACGUGAGUCAACUCCUUCGUACGAGACCUCGGUAAGCGACAUUCCUGAUCCUCGCAUAGAGAGGAACGCCCGUCGUGAGUACACACGUGACCCCGAUUACAACCCAGAGAUAGAAGAGGUGAAUUACUCAUUCAUAAUUAUAUGUUUCUAUACUUUUAUGCGCCUCAUUCAUAAUUACAUGUCUUUAUAUGAAUAGGAGGUGCUAUCUCAAUUGAAAGAAAUGGAGGAAAUCCUAUCCCAAGAAGAAGUUGCACAUGAAAGUGCACCUGAGCCGACGACGGAGACGACCACUGAGACCGGGAACAAAAGGAAACGAGGUGAAAGAGGAUUGAAUCAGUUUCCAAAAGUAACCUAUAGAGUUACAGAUGUCAGUGUGACUGGACAACCCUUAGCUCCAGCGGAGACCUUACCUAAGUGGCGUAACACACUCGGUUUCUUAGUUAGGGACCAUCUUGACAUCACAGUCAGGGAGUGGAAAAAUGUGGACAACAAUGAGAUCACAAGAAUGUGGAACAGGCUGCUUACGAGGUUUGUUUUACCUCAGGGUUCAGAAGACCUCGUAAAAGAGCACACAUUGAAGAAAUGGGGGAUCAUGGUUAGGAAUUACAAGUCUAAGUUGAAUUCAAAGUGGGCAAAGAAAGGGUUGGACCCGACAAAGAGGUAUAAAAUCACGGCUGGUCAGGGGGCAGUGUUUCUAGAGCAGAGGAAAUCUGAAUGAGUUCAAAGCUUUGAGUGAAUCCAAAUCUGAACUCGCANNNNNNNNNNNNNNNNNNNNNNNNNNNNNNNNNNNNNNNNNNNNNNNNNNNNNNNNNNNNNNNNNNNNNNNNNNNNNNNNNNNNNNNNNNNNNNNNNNNNNNNNNNNNNNNNNNNNNNNNNNNNNNNNNNNNNNNNNNNNNNNNNNNNNNNNNNNNNNNNNNNNNNNNNNNNNNNNNNNNNNNNNNNNNNNNNNNNNNNNNNNNNNNNNNNNNNNNNNNNNNNNNNNNNNNNNNNNNNNNNNNNNNNNNNNNNNNNNNNNNNNNNNNNNNNNNNNNNNNNNNNNNNNNNNNNNNNNNNNNNNNNNNNNNNNNNNNNNNNNNNNNNNNNNNNNNNNNNNNNNNNNNNNNNNNNNNNNNNNNNNNNNNNNNNNNNNNNNNNNNNNNNNNNNNNNNNNNNNNNNNNNNNNNNNNNNNNNNNNNNNNNNNNNNNNNNNNNNNNNNNNNNNNNNNNNNNNNNNNNNNNNNNNNNNNNNNNNNNNNNNNNNNNNNNNNNNNNNNNNNNNNNNNNNNNNNNNNNNNNNNNNNNNNNNNNNNNNNNNNNNNNNNNNNNNNNNNNNNNNNNNNNNNNNNNNNNNNNNNNNNNNNNNNNNNNNNNNNNNNNNNNNNNNNNNNNNNNNNNNNNNNNNNCAAAUCUGAACUCGCAAAAAGGAACAAUUACCACCACCACCUAGGCACAGGUGGUUACCAGCGCAAGCUUGCCCAAUGGGAGCAAGAGGAUGAAGCGCAUAGGGCUCAAGGUUUGCCGGCGCUCCCUGACCAACUUGGUCGCAGGGGCUCGCGGUGGGUUCGUGCUCGGGUACCGGCAAAGAAAGCCAAUUCUGGCUUGUCAUUUGCUGACCCAAUGGUCGAAGAGGCUGCGAAGAAUAUUUUCAAGGUGGCAUCUAAGCAGAAAGCAGGCGAAUUUAAGCCACAAAGGGAGAAAGAUGUUCUUACUGUUGCUCUGGGUAACCCAGAGCAUCCCGGUCGUGUACGAGGUAUCUCAUCCAAGGAAGGAUGGAAAGAAGGAUUCGGACCAGAGUGGGAAGGAAUGUAUAGAAAACGCGAUCGCUACAAGGAAGAAUUGUCUAAUUUUUUUAAGGAGGCUAAGAAAGAAGUCGAACAGGUGAUGAAUAAAAUGCUCUCCGAUCCUCCUCCUGAGUUGAUGCAGCGACUGGCGUCUGCAAUGUCUAGCCAAUUGAGUGGUCAGCCUCGCCAGAUGCAGCUAGUGGUCGCCCCGACAACAUCACAACAGGCUCCAGUUGUCCCAAGUAGUGUGGCGUCUACUGGAAAUAAGGACCGGUAUCCACUUGACGAGAUUGAAAGUCCUGUUCGUUGCUCCCUAGUCAUAAGGUACGGUCUUAACAAUAAUCGUACAAGGGAAGUAGCCACAGGACUUGCAAUCCCGGGGCGUCAGUUUCAUGGUAGCGAAAUUUCAGAGGACUACUGUAGGGUGGAAGUGCUGACAGUUGUCCAAGGAUAUGAGGAUGACAUGCUAGACAUUCCUGGUCCUGAGGGUAUUGAGAAGCUGGGACAAGCUAUCAAGAAUUUCAUUCUUUGGCCUCGACGAGACGUCCUGUUGUCUAAGGUACCACAACCUUCAUCCCAAGAAGUACCACUGACUCAGGAGUCGUCCCUUCCAAAUGUCGGUGGUACCAUAACUCUUCCGAGUCUACCACCCUCUCCGAUCUUCGCUCCACCAUCCUCACCUAUAAUGCUUCACCCACCAUCCCCACCACCAUCACCUAAACCACAACCUUCGCCAGCACCACCAGAAUCUUCCACACCACCACCACCCAAAAAUGCCGAGACACCACCACAACCAAACAAAGAUGACGAGACGACACCACCGCCACCAAAAAAGUUAAAAUUUUCGGUGCCCAAAUUGGUUUCGCCGUUCGAGCCAAAGAAGAGGAAGUCUGUUGGUACUGCCCUAUUUUUGUCAGGAAUUGCAAUGAGCCGCACGAAAAAAUUAGUUGACUUGGCUGAGCACGAGAAGGCAGCAAAGAAGUCUGAACCAGCUUUUGUAAAUAUUAGGCCACCCACUAAAGAUGAUUAUAAAUAUGUCCCUAAGAAAUAUGAGUUGGGUAGGCCUCUACUGACUUGGGAUAAACUUAAAAAGGUCCCAGCUGGUGUAAAAAGGUUCCAUGACUGGUAUAUGAGAGCAGCUUCUGUUGGCAUUGACACGAUCAGUGUAGAUAUACCAGCAGAGGCAUUUAAUAGUGAUCAUACAAGAGCAAUUGUGACCUUCGAGGACAUGUGGUUAAUGAUGAACCUACAAAGACUCGAGGUGCAGCUCAUAACUGUGUUUGCAUUGUAAGUGUCACUCAUACAAUGCUUUAAAUUUGUGAGUUAUUAUUUGUGAGUUACAUUAAAUUUUAAUACUAACAUACAAGUGCACGUUGCAGAAUGCAAUAUGAACAGCAACAGAUGCGGUACGGUCCGGAUCCAAGCACUAAUGCGAAUAAAAGGGUCGCGUAUAUGAGCCCAAUGAGGAUAUGUGAGGAUGAGCACACUUUUAGGAUCGGAAAAGAUCAUGACUCCUUAAAAGGUUUGGAUCCAAAAGAGCAGGAGGACGAAAUAAAGAAAAGGGAAAAGAAACAAAUAGCUAGUUACGGCCUCUACCUAGCCAUGACAAUGCUAGAGUUUCAAGACAGGGAAUUAAUAUUCGCACCACAUAACUUUAGGUAAGUGUCAGUUUGCAUGCAUCGUAUUAAUAGUUAAAAUACGCACUUUGAUCACAAAGUUCAUUCUCUCAGGGACCACUGGAUCUUCUUAAUGAUUAAUCCCAAGCAUGGACGUGUGCAUGUCCUAGACUCCGCAGACUAUGAACCAACAACUUAUGCACCAUUCAUUUCUCUCUUAGAACGGUAAGCUAAGUAAAAUAUUCAUACAAAAUUUGAUAAGAGUUUGACAAUAACUUGCAAAAUGUUUUUGAUAUCAUAGGGCCUAUAGGUAUUAUAAGAUUAAAGGGGGAAAGUGCGAGUCAGGAAUACAGGGGUAGCCUUUGAGGUUCUUUCAUAAGUGGCCGGUACGUAUGAAAGUUUACCAAGUUAUUCUCGCUAGCUAUAUACAUAGAAUACGCAUCAUGCUGCAACCACAAAUAUGCUCUUUUUCUUUAUAUAGUGUCACAAGCAACCACCAGGAUCGGUCCACUGUGGAUUCUACGCAUGUGAGUUCAUGAGAGAGGGCGGAAGAUAUAUGACUAACCCUUAUAAGGUAAUUAAUGCUCUAAGUAAUUAAGGUUGUGAAUUAUGUAUUAUGAACAUUAAAUAUAUGAUGUUUUCUAACUUUCUGUGCAGCAAAUUGACUUUGAAAAGGCGAAGAGCAUGAGUGAAGCCACUUUAUACAACAUAGUUGAGGACCUCUGCAAAUUCAUGUUGCGAGAAGUCAUACCCAGCGAAGGGAAAUAUCACGAUCGGACCAGCGCCCUAGCAAAGCCUGAAUACGGAGCGCUAAGGGAGAUUAGUAGGCUAAAGCUAACUCGAUCCAGUUAUUAGAGCAGAGGUUUCAGAGGUGAAACCUCUAAUGCAUGUAACAGAAUAAAUUUGAUGUGUGAUCAUAUUUGUAAUUAAUGUAACCUUAUGUAAAGUAACAGUAUAUAUAUAAAUGAAUUGCAUGUUGCAAUGGUUGACAUGAUCUCUACGCUUCAGUAGUUUGAAUAUUACGUGUAUAUAUAUAUAUAUAUAUUGUAUGUACAUAUUAAAAUAUAAAAUGAAAAAAGGUUCUGGUGGGAAAAUUUAGAACUGGGAGGGAGAUUUAAAAUUUUUAACACAGGCGGUUAUAUAAUGAGAACCGCCUGUAGAAAGUUCAUUUCUACAGGCGGGUUGCAUAGCUGAACCGCCUGUAGAAAUCUAUUUCUACAGACGGUUCUAGGUUACCCGCCUGUGGAAACUCUUGAUUUCCACAGGCACCCAGCGCAGGCGGUUCUCCAAACCGCCUGUGAAAAGGGGUUGGGAACCGUCUGUAUAGUGCUUCUGUGUACUAGUGGAACAAGUCAUAAAUCCAAGCGGCGAGUUCCACUAUAAUCCUAACGAGAAGAUGAUUCCAAACAAGAACAACUUCUAUAUAUAUAUAUAUAUAUAUAUAUAUAUAUAUAUAUAUAUAUAUAUAUAUAUAUAGUAUUAGCAGCAAUGAAUACACAAAAGGAAACCUAUUGUAUAAAUAAACAAAACUGAAAAGAAAAGAAAAGAAAAGAAAAAAAAAAAACAAGGGGCCCCUUUAGUCCCGGGCGGUACUACCAGCCGGGACUAAAGGGUGUUGCUGCGUGGCACCGCUGGCAGCACCCUUUAAUCGUGGCUGGUAAUACCGUCCGGGACUAAAGGGUGGGGCUUUGGCCCCGGUGCACGGAACCGGGACUAAAGAGGGAGCCUUUAGUCGCGGAAGCGUAGUCCUGGCUCGGAAUCCGGGGCUAAAGCCCCUUUCCGGCCGGGACUAAAAGCCGAUUCUGUAGUAAGUUCAAAAUAGAUUUUUAAGUUGCCUAAUUUCAACCCCCUCUUAGACGUCACGGUCCUUAUAGGCUCAGUCAGCGAAAUUAACAACACUUAUUGGUCUGGCGUUUCAGUUCAUUUAUAUGUUCAUAAAAUUGUUACUCGGGAAUGUAUUACUGUGGCUAAGUGAUUAAUAAGCUCUUUUUUCCGUUAAGAAAAUGUAAACGAGAAUACGAGUAUUGUAGUAAGCUAUAUAUAUAUAUAUAUAAUUUUGGUCCCUAGCUAGAUCACCAGAGACGCAUUGACGAUUUAUCUCGAUGGUCGUAUAUGCAUGCAUGGUCCUGGGAUUCCUAGCUAGUGCCGUUAGAUAUGCUAGAUCUAGCUAGUAGUAUCCAUGUUGAACAUUUUGACGUUGUUGUGGUCUGCAGCAACACCCGAACCACGGUCGGCACCGGAAAGGCACACGAAGGUACACACAUGCAUCGUGUCUAACUCACACGCUAAUUAAUAGUGGCACCCCGUGGUCAAAAUGCAGCACUUUGGUUAGGCCAGUUUCAACUCUGCCAACCGAUCUCGAUGAGUGGCUUGUUGGGCAUGCAUGCAGGAAACUGACACCGAAUUGCUAAUCAACCACCACUAGUGCUAAUUUUUGAAAACUUUAUGCCCUCCUGCCUAAUUUCAGAAUGACUUGCCCAAAUGGUUAACCGGUAAGCUAGCUAUAUCCCCCCCUAUGAAUUGUACUGUCAAAGUUAAUUAGCUAGGCACCUAACCUAACACAGGGAUGCUAUGCUCACCGGCAGGUCGCAUCACUACUAAGACCAUUUGUAUAUUUCAUGAAUUUAGUACGCGUGUAUUCUUGUCUGUGCUUGCGUCGUCCGUCGAGGCUAUUUGGAUUGAGCUUCGGCAACCACCAUCUGCAGCACCUGCUGUAGGCAUAUAAAUAAACAAAAACAAACUGGGAAUCAUGCUUGCUCGUGCACAAGUAUAAAAUUCCAAAAUCCAUCACCUGCACUACAUGUGGUACCGUUGUGCAUUAGUUGAGCUCCACAAUCUUGCAAGCACUAUGAUCGAUUCACUUGAUUUCACGUGAAUAUACUAUGGGCAGAAGAGAUGGAUCAACAUAAUUGAUCAUCAACCGCAUGAUGAACAUAUAUUAGUGGAUGGAGAUUCAAGCGAUCUCGCUCGCCCAACUG
rnacentral:lncRNA from 1 species